rnacentral:rRNA from 1 species
GGAUAACAUGCCCUAGAGUGGAGGAUAAUCUCGGGAAAUUGAGGAUAAUACUCCAUAGAUCAUGAAAUCUGGAAUGAUUCAUGGUUCAAAGUUCCGGCGCUCUAGGAUUGGUCUGCGGCUUAUCAGGUUGUAGUGGGUGUAACGGACCCACUAGCCAGUGACGAGUAUGGGCCUUGAGAGAGGGAGCCCAGAGAUGGAUUCUGAGACACGAAUCCAGGCCCUACGGGGCGCAGCAGUCGCGAAAACUUCACAAUGGAGGCAACUCCGAUGAGGGAAUUCCUAGUGCUAGUACAUUAGUAUUAGCUUUUCUUUAGUAUAGAUCGCUAAAGGAAUAAGGGCUGGGUAAGACGGGUGCCAGCCGCCGCGGUAAUACCCGCAGCCCAAGUGGUGGUCGAUUUUAUUGAGUCUAAAACGUUCGUAGCCGGUUCAUUAAAUCCUUGGGUAAAUCGGGAAGCUUAACUUUCCGACUUCCGAGGAGACUGGUGAACUUGGGACCGGGAGAGGCAAGAGGUACUUCUGGGGUAGGGGUAAAAUCCUGUAAUCCUAGAAGGACCACCGGUGGCGAAGGCGUCUUGCUAGAACGGAUCCGACGGUGAGGGACGAAGCCCUGGGUCGCAAACGGGAUUAGAUACCCCGGUAGUCCAGGGUGUAAACGCUGCAGACUUGGUGUUGGGGACCCUUCGGGGGUGUUCAGUGCCGGAGAGAAGUUGUUAAGUCUGCUACUUGGGGAGUACGUCCGCAAGGAUGAAACUUAA